UUAAAGUUGUUGCAGUUAAAAAGCUCGUAGUUGAAACUUGGGCCUGGCUGUCCGGUCCGCCUCACCGCGUGCACUGGUUCGGCCGGGCCUUUCCUUCUGGGGAGCCGCAUGCCCUUCAUUGGGUGUGCCGGGGAACCAGGACUUUUACUUUGAAAAAAUUAGAGUGUUCAAAGCAGGCAUAUGCUCGAAUACAUUAGCAUGGAAUAAUA
rnacentral:rRNA from 1 species